CUUGAACCAAAGCAAUUCCCAGCGGAAAUCUCAGCACUCAGAGCCAAGCUUAGUUGUUUCCAGUGUCCAAGGUAAAUAUACUGAUACCAGCUUCAAGGAAAAGGUAAGGUGAUGAAAAGAAAAACGUUAUGUCAAGAGGUAUUAUUUUCUCUGUUCCCAGAGGCAAAUUGGUACUGAAAGGCAGUUUUGUGGCCUGAAUAAGUCACUUGAACUACUCUGGGUUGGACUGUCUCCCCACCUCCUCUCUUCCUUAAUUAUUCUCUUUUUUAUUAUUAUUAUUUUUUUUUGGAGAUGGAGUCUUGCUGUGUCACCCAGGCGGGAGUGCAGUGGCAUUAUCUCGGCUCACUGUAACCUCUGCCUCCCGGGUUCAAGCGAUUCCUCUGCCUCAGCCUCCUGAGUAGCUGGGAUUACAGGUGCCUGCCACCACACCCAGCUAAUUUUUUGUAUUUUUGGUAGAGAUGGGGUUUUUUUUUUUUUUUUUUUUUUUUUUGAGAUGGAGCCUUGCUCUGUCACCCAGGCUGGAGUGCAGUGGCAUGAUCUUGGCUCACUGCAACCUCUACCUCCCAGGUUCAAGCAAUACUCCCUGCCUUAGCUUCCCAAGUAGCUAGGAUUACAGGCACCCACAACCACACCUGGCUAAUUUUUGUAAUUUUAGUAGAGACAGGCUUUUGCCACGUUGAACAGGUUGGUCUCAAACUCCUGACCUCAGGUGACCUGCCCACCUUGGCCUCCCAAAGUACUGGGAUUAUAGGCAUGAACCACUAUGCUAGGACUCUGAUUUGUGGGUUUUUGUCCAUUCUACCAUUCUGUAUCUUUUUUUUUUGAUGGAGUCUUGCUCUGUUGCCAGGCUGGAGUGCAGUGGUGCAGUCUCAGCUCACUGUAACCUCCAUCUCCUGAGUUCAAGCAAUUAUUCUGCCUCAGCCUCCUGAGUAGCUGGGACUACAGGCACAUGCCACCACACCCAGCUAAUUUUUGUAUUUUUAGUAGAGACGGGGUUUCACCAUCUUGACCAGGAUGGUCUUGAUCUCUUAACCAUGUGAUCCGCCCACCUUGGUCUCCCAAUGUGCUGAGACGACAGGUAUGAGCCACCACGCCUGGCCUGGUAUCUUUUUUUUUUUCUUUUUUUCUUUUUUUGGCCUGGUAUCUUCUAAGUGAAGCAUUUAGGCCAUUUAUAUACAACAUUUGUAUUGAGAUGUAAGGUACUGUUCUAUUCGUCAUGCUAAUUGUUGCCUGAAUACCUUGUUGUUGUUGUUGUUUUUCAUUGUGUUAUUGUUUUAUAGGUCCUGUGAGAUUUAUGCUUUAAUUAAGGAGGUUUAUUUUGGUGUGUUUUGAGGUUUUGUUUUAAGAUUUAGAACUUCUUUUAGCAUUCCUUGUAGUGCUGGCUUGGUAGUGGCAAAUUCUGUCACCAUUUGUUUGUCUGAAAAAAACUGUAUCUCCUUCAUUUAUGCAGCUUAGUUUUGCUGGAUACAAAAUUCUUGGCUGAUAAGUAUUUUGUUUGAGGAAGCCAAAGAUAGGACCACAGUCUCUUCUGGCAUGCGUGCAGGGUUUCUCCUGAGAAAUCUGCUGUUAAUCUGAUAGGUUUUUGUUUAUAGGUUAUCUGAUGCUUUUUGUCUCACAGCUCUUAAGAUUCUUUCCAUCCUCUUGACUUUAGAUAACCUGAUGACUAUGUGCCUAGGUGAUGAUCUUUUUGCAUUGAAUUUCUUAGGUAUUCUUUGAGCUUCUUGUAUUAGGAUGUCUAGAUCUCUUGUGAGACCAGGUAAUUUUCCUCAAUUAUUCCCUCAGAUAAGUUUUCCAAACUUUUAGAUUUCUCUUCUUUCCCAGGAACACCAGUUAUUCUUAUGUUUCAUCCUUUAACAUAAUCCCAAAUUUCUUGGAGGCUCUGUUCCUUUGGUUUUUGUUUUGUUUUGUUUUAAACAGAGUUUUGCUC
rnacentral:lncRNA from 1 species